UACGGAAGAUGCGAGCGUUAUCCGGAUUUAUUGGGUUUAAAGGGUGCGCAGGCGGCACGGCAAGCCGGCGGUCAAAUCGCGGGGCUCAACCCCGCCCAGCCGUCGGAACUGCCGGGCUAGAGUGGGCGAGAAGUGCGCGGAAUGCGUGGUGUAGCGGUGAAAUGCAUAGAUAUCACGCAGAACUCCGAUUGCGAAGGCAGCGCACCGGCGCCCUACUGACGCUCAGGCACGAAAGCGUGGGUAUCGAACAGG
rnacentral:rRNA from 1 species